rnacentral:rRNA from 1 species
AGUUGGUGGAGUGAUUUGUCUGGUUAAUUCCGAUAACGAACGAGACCUUAACCUGCUAAAUAGUAGUACGAAAGAGCUUUCGUAUAAAGCUUCUUAGAGGGACUUUGCGUGUCUAACGCAAGGAAGUUUGAGGCAAUAACAGGU